rnacentral:rRNA from 1 species
AAAGGGUGUGUAGGCGGCCAUGUAAGUCAGUUGUGAAAGCCCCGGGCUCAACCCGGGAAGUGCUUCUGAUACUGCUUGGCUUGAGUAUUGGAUAGGUGAGUGGAAUUCCAGGUGUAGUGGUGAAAUACGUAGAUAUCUGGAGGAACACCGGCGGCGAAGGCGGCUCACUGGCCAUAUACUGACGCUGAAACACGAAAGCGUGGGUAGCAAACAGGAUUAGAUACCCUAGU